rnacentral:rRNA from 1 species
UACGUAGGAGGCAAGCGUUGUCCGGAAUUACUGGGCGUAAAGCGCGUGUAGGUGGUGGGACAAGUCUGCUGUGAAGGCGCCUGGCUUAACCGGGCGAGGUCGGCGGAAACUGUUCGACUCGAGGACGGUAGAGGGGGGUGGAAUUCCCGGUGUAGUGGUGAAAUGCGUAGAGAUCGGGAGGAACACCUGUGGCGAAGGCGGCCCCCUGGGCCGGCCCUGACACUGAGACGCGAAGGCGUGGGGAGCGAACGGG